UGGGGAAUUUUGGACAAUGGGGGAAACCCUGAUCCAGCCAUCCCGCGUGUGCGAUGAAGGCCUUCGGGUUGUAAAGCACUUUUGACAGGAAAGAAACGUCAUGGGUUAAUACCCCGUGAAACUGACGGUACCUGCAGAAUAAGCACCGGCUAACUACGUGCCAGCAGCCGCGGUAAUACGUAGGGUGCAAGCGUUAAUCGGAAUUACUGGGCGUAAAGCGUGCGCAGGCGGUUCGGAAAGAAAGAUGUGAAAUCCCAGAGCUCAACUUUGGAACUGCAUUUUUAACUACCGGGCUAGAGUGUGUCAGAGGGAGGUGGAAUUCCGCGUGUAGCAGUGAAAUGCGUAGAUAUGCGGAGGAACACCGAUGGCGAAGGCAGCCUCCUGGGAUAACACUGACGCUCAUGCACGAAAGCGUGGGGAGCAAACAGG
rnacentral:rRNA from 1 species